GCCCCUGUGGGCCCCUCGCCGUGUGAGCAGCCAUCCCGAGUGGACACGCCCCUCCUCCCCACCCGUUGCAUGUGGAUGUCCUGUGGCCUCAUGCUGCCCAGGCACCUUGCUGAUGUGGACCAGUGUUCAGCAGCCCUCCCCACGGCUCUGACACCCUGCCCACAUCCCCAGAGCCCAGGUCAUCACUGACCAGCAUGCAGCAGGUGCCCAGCAAAUAUUUCUUGCACUGAAGUGAAUUGGAUAAGAGGGCCCUCCAAACUGUGAAGUGUGGUGCAGCUAGCAGGUGGCUGGGGCUGUGCUUACCCAGCAGGGAAGACCACUGUGCGGGUGGCCGGAAGAGUGGGUACUGCUUGGGAAAGGCCGUCUGGCUCCAUUUGCCCGUGAAGGUGAUGCUGUACUUGGCCAGGGGCCGGGCUGUGCACAUGGAGUCUCCCCUCAGUGGCU